rnacentral:lncRNA from 1 species
AACACAUGACUCUUUUCUUCACACUAAUUAAUAGCAUCAUUACAAUUUGUUUACUUACAACUUUCUACGCCUCUGUCUCUUAACUACUUCUGCAGAUUUAACAACUUAAACUGGCAUGUCGAUUUCUUUUGUUUGUUGUUGUUAUGAACUCCUCUUCCCUAUUCCCUUUAUGUGUUUUAAGUUAUAGUUUAAAACAUGGAAAUAUGCAAGUUAUUGUCCAUGGUUUGAACUUGAUCCCUUAGGGGAUCCUAACCUCUGAAACAAUGUGUUCUAACAGGCUUGUGAGGUGUGCUAGCAUUUCUCAUUACUGGGUACGCCCACUAGCAUGUCAUUGCCUCUUUACCACUUCCCUAUUUCCUAUACCCCUAUGUAUAUCUAUGUGUACUGUUUCCCUUCCCCUUUUCCCUUUUCAGAAUUCGUACUUACACUCUUUCCUAGUCUCUAAGUUCAUCCCCCUCCCUCAUGUGAGCUUUGCCUUGGGACCUUGAGUUCCCUUUGAACUUGGACAUAUGAGGGCUGUCCCCUCCAUACUGCACUAUGUCUUAACCUUGUAAUGCAUUUGGGUGUGAGCACUGCCCGAAGUCCAUUUGAGGCUCUUAGGGAACUCUGACACAUCCAAAUAAGAGAAAGACUUUGAAUAUUGAUUUUUGGAGCUGGUUUACUUCAUAAAUCAUAUAGGAAGUCUCAAUCAGGCUUUCCUUAGUUGUAAUUUUAAAUUUCUGAUGUAUUUUCUUUAUUGGACUGUAAUAACUUUGUAUAACUUUUGGGGAUGAUUAGUGCAAAGGGAGGGGUAACUAUGCAUGUAUUCGGGUAGAAAACUUGCCUAUAGAAAUCUCUAAUUUCUACAAUUUUUCACAUAGUUACCAUGCCUACAGGAAUCUCUAAUUUCUGCAUUUUUUUCCCAUAUAGUUAUCAUACCUAUAAGACUUCUGCAUUUUUAUAU